rnacentral:misc_RNA from 1 species
GAUGAAGAACGUAGCGAAAUGCGAUACUUGGUGUGAAUUGCAGAAUCCCGUGAACCAUCGAGUCUUUGAACGCAAGUUGCGCCCGAAGCCAUUAGGCCGAGGGCACGCCUGCCUGGGCGUCACACGUCGUUGCCCCCCCAUCUAAUCCUUCGGGAUUGCGGGGGGCGGUUGAUGGCCUCCCGUGCGCCUCGUCGCGCGGUUGGCAUAAAUGCCAAGUCCUCGGCGACGCACGCCACGACAAUCGGUGGUUGCGAAACCUCGGUUGCCCGUCGUGUGCGGUCGUCGCGCAUCGAGGGCUCGAAAAAAUUGCCGGGCUCCGGCUCGACUUUCAACGCGACCCCAGGUCAGGCGGGGUUACCCGCUGAAUUUAAGCAUAUCAAUAAGCGGAGGA